GGGCGAGGCAAAGCCGAGUCAUCCUGCACGCACCUCCCUUACAAGGAGGGGGUCGGCGGUUCGAUCCCGUCAUCACCCACCA
rnacentral:tRNA from 1 species